CUAAUGAUAAUCGUUAUUCUGCAAAACGCAAGCCUUACAAAUAUUCAAAGGAAAAAAAAAGAACAAUAGAAACGGACGGAAGGAGAAGAAGAAACAGUUGCUGAGUUAAUAACCAUGGCAACGCGCUUGUUAGCCACAGCCUUGGGCACUCCUUCGAGCUAUAGCCCUGAUAGACGGCGAACCAGAGUGUCGACACCUUCGAACCAAUGGCUGUCGUGUUAUGACCGGAAAACAUUUAAGGAUAGGGUUAAAAAUGGAACUAUAAGGUGCGAGGUUGUGGAUGAAGGAAGCUCUACCUCUAAUGUUUCCGUCGAUCAAACCGUCUAUCAAGGAGCAUAUGGCUCCUGGACUGUUGAGGACUCGGACGUCAGAGAAGUUAUUUUAUAUAGGUCAGGGUUAGUAACUGCUGCUGUGUCGUUUGUAAUUGCUUCAUCUGCUGCUUUUUUACCUGAAACCUCUUCUUUGAGAGAAAUAAUUUUUCAAAAGCAUGAUUUGCUUUACCUGCUUGGAGCUGGGGGUCUAGGCCUGUCACUGUUUCUGAUUCACAUCUAUGUAACUGAGAUUAAGCGGACACUUCAAGCAUUAUGGGCGCUUGGUAUUCUUGGUUCUUUGACAGCAUACUCAAUCCUCGCGCAACCAGCUGGUGAGAACUUAGUACAACAUGUUGUGGACAAUCCAACAGCUGUCUGGUUUGUUGGUCCUCUCUUUGCAGCACUUACUGGACUCGUCUUCAAAGAAGGCCUGUGCUAUGGGAAACUUGAAGCUGGUCUUCUUACUUUCAUCAUACCAAUGGUUCUUCUUGGGCACCUGAUUCGAAGUCAUUGAAGUUGGUUUUACAUGGAUCUUAAUGGGCUUCACUCGAACCAUGCAGAGUGGAUUGAUGGAUGAUGGAGUAAAACUUACUUUACUUGGUUCAUGGAUGGUUCUCUUCGUGAUAUUUGCUGGAAGAAAGUUUACUCAGCCCAUAAAGGAUGACAUUGGUGACAAAUCUAUCUUCAUGUUCAAUGCUCUUCCGCAGGAUGAAAAGAAUGCCCUGAUUGAAAAACUUUCCAAACAGAAGUAGUCAGAUAAACGUUACUUUUUCAUGGUGACUCAUGAAUCAAUAAAGCGAAAAAAUGCGCAUUAAGGAAGUUUCAGUUAAUCAGCCAUUUAUGAAGUUCCUUUUUUCUUAAGAAAAAAAAGAAAAAGAAAGAUCAUGGGUAAAUUUGUGAAGUACCUGUAAUAUUAUUUUCAUUCCACUGUAAUAAAAGCACCGUAUUUAUUGGACUCUACCUUAACUGAAACAAGGGUUGAGUCAAAUUAGGAAGAACUAGGUUCAUACUGUAAGGGAUGAAACUUUUUAGAACUAAUAGUUUACUAACUCCUCCAUGGUUGGGGAAUUGCUGAA